UACGUAGGGUGCAAGCGUUGUCCGGAAUUAUUGGGCGUAAAGAGCUCGUAGGCGGUCUGUCGCGUCUGCUGUGAAAACUCGGGGCUUAACCCCGGGCCUGCAGUGGGUACGGGCAGACUAGAGUGCGGUAGGGGAGACUGGAAUUCCUGGUGUAGCGGUGAAAUGCGCAGAUAUCGGGAAGAACACCCGUGGCGAAGGCGGUUCUCUGGGACGGUACUGACGCUGAGACGCGAAAGCGUGGGGAGCGAACAGG
rnacentral:rRNA from 1 species